rnacentral:rRNA from 1 species
UAGGGAAUCUUCGGCAAUGGGGGGAACCCUGACCGAGCAACGCCGCGUGAGUGAAGAAGGUUUUCGGAUCGUAAAGCUCUGUUGUUAAGGAAGAACGAGUGUGAGAAUGGAAAGUUCAUGCUGUGACGGUACUUAACCAGAAAGGGACGGCUAACUACGUGCCAGCAGCCGCGGUAAUACGUAGGUCCCGAGCGUUGUCCGGAUUUAUUGGGCGUAAAGCGAGCGCAGGCGGUUAGAUAAGUCUGAAGUUAAAGGCAGUGGCUCAACCAUUGUAGGCUUUGGAAACUGUUUAACUUGAGUGCAGAAGGGGAGAGUGGAAUUCCAUGUGUAGCGGUGAAAUGCGUAGAUAUAUGGAGGAACACCGGUGGCGAAAGCGACUCUCUGGUCUGUAACUGGCGCUGAGGCUCGAAAGCGUGGGUAGCAAACAGG